rnacentral:rRNA from 1 species
CGAUUGAAGCUGGAGCUUGCUCCGGCCGAUUUAGUGGCGGACGGGUGAGUAACGCGUGGGUAACCUGCCUCAUACAGGGGGAUAGCAGUUGGAAACGACUGGUAAAACCGCAUAAGCGCACGGUGUCGCAUGACACAGUGUGAAAACACUCCGGUGGUAUGAGAUGGACCCGCGUCUGAUUAGCUAGUUGGUGAGGUAACGGCCCACCAAGGCGACGAUCAGUAGCCGGCCUGAGAGGGUGAACGGCCACAUUGGGACUGAGACACGGCCCAAACUCCUACGGGAGGCAGCAGUGGGGAAUAUUGCACAAUGGGGGAAACCCUGAUGCAGCGACGCCGCGUGAGUGAUGAAGUAUUUCGGUAUGUAAAGCUCUAUCAGCAGGGAAGAUAAUGACGGUACCUGACUAAGAAGCACCGGCUAAAUACGUGCCAGCAGCCGCGGUAAUACGUAUGGUGCAAGCGUUAUCCGGAUUUACUGGGUGUAAAGGGUGCGUAGGUGGCAAGGCAAGUCUGAAGUGAAAAUCCGGGGCUCAACCCCGGAACUGCUUUGGAAACUGUUUAGCUGGAGUACAGGAGAGGUAAGUGGAAUUCCUAGUGUAGCGGUGAAAUGCGUAGAUAUUAGGAGGAACACCAGUGGCGAAGGCGACUUACUGGACUGCUACUGACACUGAGG